ACGAAUGUGCUGUCACUGGAGCCACUCAUACUGGUAAAAGGGAAGAGAGGCAGCUGCAGCACGUUGGCCCAAAUUACAGGGGAAGUCAAAUGACAGGCAGUUGUGGCAUGUAAUUCUGGUCAGAGCCUCCCAGUCCUAAUUGCCUGCCACUUCAAAGGAAACCAUUAUUUACUCCUUUCAGAUGCUGGAUGGAACAACAGAGACAGCAUGCCAGCAGAGUUUCAAGUGAAUGGAGGUCAUCCUUUAGGACACGUGAUCCCGUUGGAAAAAACAGGAUUGGUGCCUUCAAACAACAAAAGGAUAUUUGCUUGGGGCUAAUGAUGUUUCUUCAAGAGAGUUCGAUAAAGGGAUCAAAGAGGAAGUCACCUAAAGACCAUUUUGUGAUUAUGUUUUUACAGCCUUGAGGUAUAAUUGACAUACAAUAAAGUGCAUAUAAAGUGUACAAUUUGAUAAGUUUUGACAUAUGUAAAUACCUGUGAUGAAGCUAUGACCACAAUUAAGAUAAUGAAUAUAUGCAUCAUGCCCCCAUAUUUCCUCAUGCCCCUUUGUAAUCUCUCCCUCCCACUCCUCUCCAUGAUCCGUCCCCUCAUUUC